rnacentral:lncRNA from 1 species
GGCGACGUCCAGCCAGAGAACCUCCAGAGAGGGAGGUGACGGGACGCUACGAGGAAGAGCCCUGGGAGAUUAAGUUUCUUGCAAAGAUCGCUGGUGAUUGUAGCUGCUGAGCAGAGAUUCUGGAAAGCACUCCAUUUCUGAGCCUCUAGCAUGGCGGGCCUAAAGAGGCGGGCAAGCCAGGUGUGGCCCGAAGAGCGCGUUGAGCAGGAACAUGGGCUCUACAGCCUCCACCGCAUGUUUGACAUCGUGGGCACCCACCUGACACACAGAGAUGUUCGAGUGCUUUCCUUCCUUUUUGUUGAUGUUAUUGAUGACCAUGAACGAGGACUUAUCCGAAAUGGACGUGACUUCUUGUUGGCACUGGAGCGCCAGGGCCGCUGUGAUGAGAGUAACUUUCGCCAGGUG